GAACGCUGGCGGCAGGCCUAACACAUGCAAGUCGAGCGGUAGAGAGGUGCUUGCACCUCUUGAGAGCGGCGGACGGGUGAGUAAAGCCUAGGAAUCUGCCUGGUAGUGGGGGAUAACGCUCGGAAACGGACGCUAAUACCGCAUACGUCCUACGGGAGAAAGCAGGGGACCUUCGGGCCUUGCGCUAUCAGAUGAGCCUAGGUCGGAUUAGCUAGUUGGUGAGGUAAUGGCUCACCAAGGCGACGAUCCGUAACUGGUCUGAGAGGAUGAUCAGUCACACUGGAACUGAGACACGGUCCAGACUCCUACGGGAGGCAGCAGUGGGGAAUAUUGGACAAUGGGCGAAAGCCUGAUCCAGCCAUGCCGCGUGUGUGAAGAAGGUCUUCGGAUUGUAAAGCACUUUAAGUUGGGAGGAAGGGCAUUAACCUAAUACGUUAGUGUUUUGACGUUACCGACAGAAUAAGCACCGGCUAACUCUGUGCCAGCAGCCGCGGUAAUACAGAGGGUGCAAGCGUUAAUCGGAAUUACUGGGCGUAAAGCGCGCGUAGGUGGUUCGUUAAGUUGGAUGUGAAAUCCCCGGGCUCAACCUGGGAACUGCAUUCAAA
rnacentral:rRNA from 2 species